AUUGAACGCUGGCGGCAGGCCUAACACAUGCAAGUCGAGCGAGCGGCGGAAGGGUGAGUAAUGUCUGGGAAACUGCCUGAUGGAGGGGGAGAACUAAUGGAAACGGUAGCUAAUACCGCAUAACAUCAGCAGUGACCAGAUGGGAUUAGCUAGUAGGUGGGGUAACGGCUCACCUAGGCGACGAUCCCUAGCUGGUCUGAGAGGAUGACCAGCCAGCCUGGAACGGAGACACUGUCCAGACUCCUACGGGCGGCAGCAGUGUGGAAUAUUGCACAAUGGGCGCAAGCCGGAUGCAGCCAUGCCGCGGGUGUGAAGAAGGCCUUCGGGUUUUAAAGCACUUUCAGCGGGGAGGCGUUACCCGCAGAAGAAGCACCGGCUAACUCCGUGCCAGCAGCCGCGGUAAUUC
rnacentral:rRNA from 1 species